UCUGGUUGAUCCUGCCAGUAGUGAUAUGCUUGUUUCAAAGAUUAAGCCAUGCAUGUCUAAGUAUAAGCGAACUUAUACAGUGAAACUGCGGAUGGCUCAUUAAAACAGUUUGAAUUUAUUUGAUGAAUGUAUGAGAAUACUACUUGGAUAACCGUAGUAAUUCUAGAGCUAAUACAUGCAACGACGCCCGACCGUUUCACUACGGAAGGGCUGUAUUUAUUGGAUACCAAAACCAUCCUUCCCUCGGGAAGUUUUGUUUGAUGAUUCACAAUAACUGAUCGGAUCGCCACUGUGGUGGCGACAGGUCAUUCAUCAUUCUGCCCUAUCAGCUUUCGAUGGUUGUGUAGUGGACAACCAUGGCCAUAACGGGUAACGGAGAAUCAGGGUUCGAUUCCGGAGAAGGAGCUUGAGAAUUGGCUACUACAUCUAAGGAAGGCAGCAGGCGCGCAAAUUACCCAAUCCCGAUUCGGGGAGGUAGUGACAAAAAAUAACAAUACCGGGCCUUUUUGGGCUUGGUAAUUGGAAUGAGGGAGAGUUAAACGGACCAUCGAGUAUCCAUUGGAGGGCAAGUCUGGUGCCAGCAGCUGCGGUAAUACCAGCUCCAAUAGCGUAUAUUAAAGUUGUUGCAGUUAAAAGCUCGUAGUUGGACUUGUGUGCGCUGUCCGCGGGUGGCCUGCGCCCAAAACGGCGUUUCGGUUCGGCCCCGGUGGCGCCUUGAAAUCUGCAGCUGGGGGGACGUUGGCCUUAACUGGUCGGCGACCGCACGCCGGCUGCUCGGUUACUGUGAGAAAAUUAGAGUGUUCAAGGCAGGCAUUGGGUGCAAUUGAAUACAUUAGCAUGGAAUAAUAAAAUAUGGCUCCUGCCGUAUUUUGUUGGUUCUGACUGGUGGGAGUAAUGAUUGAUAGGGACGGUUGGGGGUGCUAGUAUUGAGCGGCCAGAGGUGAAGUUCAUGGAUUCGCUCAAGACUAACUUAUGCGAAAGCAUUCACCAAGGACGUCCUCUUUAAUCAAGAACGAAAGUUGGGGGAUCGAAGACGAUCAGAUACCGUCGUAGUCUCAACCAUAAACUAUGUCGACUUGGGAUCGGCGGUAGUUUUUUCAUUAAGACACUGUCGGGACCACGGGAGAAAUCAAAGUGUCUGGACUCUGGGGGAAGUAUGGUCGCAAGGCUGAAACUUGAAGGAAUUGACGGAAGGGCACCACCAGGAGUGGAGCCUGCGGCUUAAUUUGACCCAACACGGGGAAACUUACCAGGUCCAGAGAUGUAGAGGAUUGACAGAUUGAAGCUCUUUCUUGAUCACUUCGGUGGUGGUGCAUGGCCGUUCUUAGUUGGUGGAGUGAUUUGUCUGGUUA
rnacentral:rRNA from 1 species